rnacentral:rRNA from 1 species
UACGGGGGGGGCAAGCGUUGUUCGGAAUUACUGGGCGUAAAGGGCUCGUAGGCGGCCAACUAAGUCCGACGUGAAAUCCCCAGGCUUAACCUGGGAACUGCGUCGGAUACUGGAUGGCUUGAAUUCGGGAGAGGGAUGCAGAAUUCCAGGUGUAGCGGUGAAAUUCGUAGAUAUUCGCAAGAACACCAGUGGCGAAGGCGGCUCACUGGCCCGGUACUGACGCUGAGGUGCGAAAGCGUGGGGAGCAAACAGG